GAUGGGAGCUUGCUCCCUGAUGUUAGCGGCGGACGGGUGAGUAACACGUGGGUAACCUGCCUGUAAGACUGGGAUAACUCCGGGAAACCGGGGCUAAUACCGGAUGGUUGUUUGAACCGCAUGGUUCAAACAUAAAAGGUGGCUUCGGCUACCACUUACAGAUGGACCCGCGGCGCAUUAGCUAGUUGGUGAGGUAACGGCUCACCAAGGCAACGAUGCGUAGCCGACCUGAGAGGGUGAUCGGCCACACUGGGACUGAGACACGGCCCAGACUCCUACGGGAGGCAGCAGUAGGGAAUCUUCCGCAAUGGACGAAAGUCUGACGGAGCAACGCCCGCGUGAGUGAUGAAGGUUUUCGGAUCGUAAAGCUCUGUUGUUAGGGAAGAACAAGUACCCGUUCGAAUAGGGCGGUACCUUGACGGUACCUAACCAGAAAGCCACGGCUAACUACGUGCCAGCAGCCGCGGUAAUACGUAGGUGGCAAGCGUUGUCCGGGAAUUAUUGGGCGUAAAGGGUUCGCAGGCGGUUUCUUAAGCUUGAUGUGAA
rnacentral:rRNA from 1 species